rnacentral:rRNA from 1 species
AUUGAACGCUGGCGGCAGGCCUAACACAUGCAAGUCGAGCGAGUGGCGGACGGGUGAGUAAUGUCUGGGAAACUGCCUGAUGGAGGGGGAUAACUACUGGAAACGGUAGCUACUACCGCAUACCAUCAGAUGUGCCCAGAUGGGAUUAGCUAGUAGGGGGGGUAAAGGCUAACCUAGGCGACGAUCCGUAGCUGGUCUGAGAGGAUGACCAGCCACACUGGAACUGAGACACGGUCCAGACUCCUACGGGAGGCAGCAGUGGGGAAGAUUGCACAAUGGGCGCAAGCCUGAUGCAGCCAUGCCGCGUGUAUGAAGAAGGCCUUCGGGUUGUAAAGCACUUUCAGCGGGGAGGCGUUACUCGCAGAAGAAGCACCGGCUAACUCCGUGCCAGCCGCCGCGGUAAUAC